UAACGACUCUCGGCAACGGAUAUCUCGGCUCUCGCAUCGAUGAAGAACGUAGCGAAAUGCGAUACUUGGUGUGAAUUGCAGAAUCCCGUGAACCAUCGAGUCUUUGAACGCAAGUUGCGCCCGAAGCCACUAGGCUGAGGGCACGUCUGCCUGGGCGUCUCACA
rnacentral:rRNA from 1 species